rnacentral:rRNA from 1 species
GGACUACUCGGGUUUCUAAUCCUGUUUGCUCCCCCAGCUUUCGUGCCCGAGCGUCAGGCGGUGGCCAGGGCGCUGCCUACGCCGUCGGUGUUCCUCCGGAUCUCUACGCAUUUCACCGCUCCACCCGGAAUUCCACGCCCCCCUCCACGCCUCAAGCCGCGCCGUCUGCGGAGCCUGCGCCCAGUUGAGCCGGGCGAUUUCACCCCCCACGCGCGCGGCCGCCUGCGCACCCUUUACGCCCAGUAACUCCGGACAACGCUCGCCUCCUACGUAUUACCGCGGCGGCUGGCAC